ensembl:lncRNA
GCUGUCCCAGGGGAUGCCCAGGUGUGUUCACACAAUGCUUUCUGCUCUUUGGAGGGGUUCUUUCUAUGUCCCCCCUCCCUCAUUACGCUGAUGAAGGGAGUGGAGAACCUUCAUGCACCUAAAUGAUAUUCAGACUCAGAGGAGCAUCGUGAGUGUUAUGCUCAUGCGCCUUUUAAAAAUGUAGUCCUGCUGUUGUUUUUUCCUCAGGAUUUGUUAUCUAAAUGGGUAACGCUGUGCUUUUGUGACCUCUCUUUUCCUCCCCCGCUCCAUCGACUCUACAAGGGUAUCUCUCCAAUGUCAGUUUUGUCAGGACAUGAGCGCAACGUGUACAACUGAAACCACUCAGGAGUCUCAGUCCAGUCAAGACGUCUGUGUUUCGACUGUCUCGGAAGUCACCAUGAACGGCUUGAGGGUGUCCUUGUCUUUCAAAUCAUGCCUUGACCAUGAGUUUUGCCAGGCAGGCUUUUAUACUGCCAGUGUGGAAGAAGAUGGUCCCAUUCGGACCCAGAUCACCUGCUGCCAGGAGGACCAGUGUAACAGCGGGGCUCUUCAGUGUAAGCAUCCCUAGGCAAUGAUACAACCCAAUGAUACAAUAUCAUUCCCUGGGUCAUGUUUAAGGAGCAAAGGGACUACAGGAAGAAGACCUCAGUCAAGAAAAUAUUUUAAGUCUUGGAGGAAAUGAGGUCUUUAAUGUUCAGGGGGGAAAAUUGACUGAGAAAAUAUUUGUCCCAACCAGAUCUAACUGCAAUGACCGUUUUUUUCCCCACCAGUACCUGAUCCAAAAAAGCUGGUUUCCAAUGGGUUUUAAUGCCCCGGCUGCUUUUCCACCCAUUCGGAUCACUGUGACAGUAAAGGAAUGGACAGCUGCACACAGAAAGAAGACCACUGCUUCAACCUGGCUGGUUCCAUCAAAAGAAGCAUUUUGAAUGGAAGGAGUGCUUUCCAAGGUUGUACGACAGCCAAGGCAUGCAGCUUCAAAAAGGAAGCAGUAAAGGCAGCAAAUCAAGUUUUUGGAGUCUACAUUUCCCAGGUAGACUGCAAACCGGCAGAAAAAUUUACCCCCCCCCGCCCCGAGCAUCGUAGAAUGAAGAAAAUGAAGACAUCCAGAAUGAAGAACAUAGUCUAGUGCUUAAGACCAGACAGAUUUCGAUAAGAGGACUCGUUGCUCUUGGUGGCUGCAAUGAGCCACUAUGACUAGCAUUGCCAACUUUUUCAGCAGCCUCCACUCCUGUGUUUUCUCCAGUGGUCAUGCUGGCUGGGGAGGAUGUGAUUUGUUGUCAUAUGUGCCUGUAGGGGACCCAGGUAAAGGGAGCCAACUGCAGCAUCUCUGGACUUAAACUGUGAGCCCUUCCUGGAUCGUUCCACCUCCUCUGCAGAACAGGCAAGCAAGGAUAGAGAGCUUUGGAUUCUCUGCCACUUUAUUGUAGAAAAUCAGUGGAAGAGACUGAAAGGUCCUUCCUGCCAAGAAAACGAUGAAGGCUUGCCAUGGGUGUUGAUGGCACUUCGAAAUGUCAGCGAACUGCUUGGCCCCAAAAGCUUGGAAAGAGGAUCCCGUAGAAUAGAAGACAAAGCAGGAUCUCAGGAGAAGCCCCAGAAGCCCCUGGGGUCGAGGUGACAAGAAAUACACCUCUGCCAUUCCCAGUAAGAGUGGAACAAGAGGUCCAGGCUUCACACAAGCCUCUCAGUGCAGCCACAGAAAUGUUUGAAGCGUGCAAUCCUUUUCAACCCGGCUGGAUAGAUCUGUAGAUCUAUAAGGGUCCUAGCCAGGAUUCCAGAGAAGGGAGAGGCUAUAGAAGAAUCUUAGAACUGCAUAGCUGGAAGGGACUCUAUGGAUCAUCGGGUCCAGCCUCGGUCAACAAAUGCCAUCGGGAGGAUUUGAACUCACAACCUCUGAGGGCUCCACAGCCAGAGACCUCAACCACUGAACUCUCCACCCAUUACUUCUGUCAAUAAAGCAAUGCUUUGACAAUUUUCUCCUUCUCCA